rnacentral:tRNA from 1 species
AUAAAAUUAAGUUAGUGUGGACUGGGUGUUUUCAAAACACCUAGCGGCGUUAUGGCCAUUUUAUG